rnacentral:rRNA from 1 species
UACGUAGGGGGCAAGCGUUGUCCGGAUUUAUUGGGCGUAAAGAGCGUGUAGGCGGCCAGACAGGUCAGCUGUGAAAACUCGAGGCUCAACCUCGAGACGUCGGUUGAAACCGUCUGGCUAGAGUCCGGAAGAGGAGAGUGGAAUUCCCGGUGUAGCGGUGAAAUGCGCAGAUAUCGGGAAGAACACCCGUGGCGAAGGCGGCUCUCUGGGACGGUACUGGACGCUGAGACGCGAAAGCGUGGGGAGCGAACGAG